rnacentral:rRNA from 1 species
AACGAACGCUGGCGGCGUGCCUAACACAUGCAAGUCGAACGGAAUUGAGGGGCUUACUCUUCAAUUUAGUGGCGCACGGGUGAGUAACGCGUAGAUAAUCUGCCUGACGAUCCGGGAUAACACUUCGAAAGAGGUGCUAAUACCGGAUAAGCUCACGGGUUCUUUGGAAUCUGCGGGAAAAGGGGGGGACCUGUUGGCCUUCUGUCGUCGUAUGAGUCGGCGUACCAUUAGUUAGUUGGUAGGGUAAAGGCCUAACAAGGCUACGAUGGUUAGCUGGUCUGAGAGGAUGAUCAGCCACACUGAACUGAGACACAGUCCAGACUCCUACGGGAGGCAGCAGUGGGGAAUUUUGCGCAAUGGGCGAAAGCCUGACGCAGCAACGCCGCGUGAGUGAUGAAGGCUUUCGGGUCGUAAAGCUCUGUCAAUGGGAAAGAAGUGUAUUGUGGCUAAUAUCCACGAUACUUGACGGUACCCAUAAAGGAAGCACCGGCUAACUCCGUGCCAGCAGCCGCCGUAACAC